AUUGAACGCUGGCGGCAUGCUUUACACAUGCAAGUCGAACGGUAACAGCACUUCGGUGGCUGACGAGUGGCGAACGGGUGAGUAAUACAUCGGAACGUGCCUAGUAGUGGGGGAUAACUACUCGAAAGAGUAGCUAAUACCGCAUGAGAUCUAAGGAUGAAAGCAGGGGACCUUCGGGCCUUGCGCUACUAGAGCGGCUGAUGGCAGAUUAGGUAGUUGGUGGGAUAAAAGCUUACCCAGCCGACGAUCUGUAGCUGGUCUGAGAGGACGACCAGCCACACUGGGACUGAGACACGGCCCAGACUCCUACGGGAGGCAGCAGUGGGGAAUUUUGGACAAUGGGCGCAAGCCUGAUCCAGCAAUGCCGCGUGCAGGAUGAAGGCCUUCGGGUUGUAAACUGCUUUUGUACGGAACGAAAAGCCCUCUUCUAAUACAGGAGGGUCAUGACGGUACCGUAAGAAUAAGCACCGGCUAACUACG
rnacentral:rRNA from 1 species